rnacentral:lncRNA from 1 species
UUUUCCCUUUUGUGAUCUCGGUUUUUCCACAAAUUAAUUCCUUUCAACCGCACAGACUUUCAUUCGCGUAAUUUGUCUAGUGUCUUCGACUUUUCGGUAAUUACAGCUCGCCGACAGCGAGUCAUUUCUUUCCUUGUUUACGUUCCUUCGUUUCACCUGGAUCACGUUCGCUACUUGUCCUCAGACGAUUUUGACUUUUUGCAAAAUGUUAUGUCCGAUAUUGAAAAUUUUUGUGCAAUCCAGGCCAGUCCCAAGGCAUUUUAUUAUUUCCCCCAGUCAGUAAAUAUAGACGUUUUCUCAUCCACAAAUUAAUUGAAGAGUCCUUUUCACGCCGCAACUUGCAGACUUUGUCAGUAGGCAAAGACUCUGGUCGAAGAACUGCUGUCUUCCUUCGCUCGCUUUUAAGGUGAGCAUAUCCUUUGAAUUUAUUUUUGGCUGUCUAUAUUGUUACAGAAUUUAAAGGAGACUGGAUGUUUACGUUAGCAGUAAUAAGAGUUGCCGAUAAAGAGAGAAUGUGAGAAGGAAGGUUCAAGAGUCUGCAGCUAACAAUCAGUUAGUGAUCAGUGAGCAGUAUAAAAAAAGAAUGAAGCUAUGUCUACGGGAGAUUCUUUUUUCAAUAUUCUGGAGUGUAGAACGAUGUGCAAACCCUAAGCUAGCCUUUGCCUUGCAUCCAUCUUGGCCCUAAUCUGGCAACAAUGCUACCCUGUGCAGAACAUUCAUUACACUGCAUAAAAGACUGAAUAUUAUGGGGAUUAUUAUUGACUGAACCAUACGAAUGGCAAACUUUGGAAAUAGCGUUUCUCAAUUGCUUCACCUAUGUCUGAAAUUUUUUCCUUUUAAAAUUUUAGUUGCAUAGCAAGUGAAGUAGUGGAGCAAAGUUAUCACAGAGUACAGAUCAGAUCAGACAUUUAAUUAAGUUAUUGCUCAGAGCAAGAAUCAUUAAGAUAAAGACUAAAAUGGAAGAACCUCUGAUACUACUUUUAGUAUCAACUCUGACAUAAGUGGUUUUUUUUCUGGAUAUGGGCUUUUAUCAACCACCAAUUUUUCGUUUUGAUUUUAUCCUCGUUCUUAAUUAGACAGAUUGAUGGGAACUGGCCUAACUGCAUUCUCUGUCGCCUAAUUUACUCAGUUCUAGAGUUACAGAGUUCUAUUUUUUUACAGGAAACUCAAAACCAUAAUGCAGUCUGUACAUCUCCCGUGAGUUACUUGUAGAGAAUAUA